AGAGCGCGCGUCCGCCGGGUGCUCGCGCGGGGCCGGUGAGGUGCUGCUGACCGCGGCCGGGGCUCCGGGAGCGGGGUAACGUGGCUGCAGCCUUAGCGACAUCAGGAAGAACAGGGUCGAGGAUAGAGGUGUGCUGUUUUGUGUAGGCGGUCGAGGUGGAUCUGGUGACCCCUUUCGCAGUAUUGAAUGCUAUUCUAUCAAUAAAAACAGUUGGUUCUUUGGACCAGAAAUGAAUAGUCGAAGGCGACAUGUGGGUGUAAUCUCUGUGGAAGGUAAAGUGUAUGCAGUAGGUGGACAUGAUGGAAAUGAACAUUUAGGUAGCAUGGAGAUGUUUGAUCCUCUCACUAAUAAAUGGAUGAUGAAGGCAUCAAUGAACACAAAGAGGCGAGGAAUUGCCUUGGCUUCCUUAGGAGGCCCAAUUUAUGCAAUUGGAGGGUUAGAUGACAAUACUUGCUUCAAUGAUGUGGAGAGAUAUGACAUAGAAUCUGAUCAGUGGAGUACAGUGGCACCAAUGAAUACUCCCCGUGGAGGAGUUGGCUCUGUUGCUCUAGUAAACCAUGUUUAUGCAGUAGGUGGCAAUGAUGGAAUGGCUU
rnacentral:sRNA from 1 species